rnacentral:rRNA from 1 species
CCUACGGGGGGCAGCAGUGGGGAAUAUUGGACAAUGGGGGGAACCCUGAUCCAGCCAUGCCGCGUGUGUGAAGAAGGCCCUCGGGUUGUAAAGCACUUUCAGUGAGGAAGAACGCCUGGUGGUUAAUACCCAUCAGGAAAGACAUCACUCACAGAAGAAGCACCGGCUAACUCCGUGCCAGCAGCCGCGGUAAUACGGAGGGGUGCGAGCGUUAAUCGGAAUUACUGGGCGUAAAGCGCGCGUAGGUGGCUUGAUAAGCCGGUUGUGAAAGCCCCGGGCUCAACCUGGGAACGGCAUCCGGAACUGUCAAGCUAGAGUGCAGGAGAGGAAGGUAGAAUUCCCGGUGUAGCGGUGAAAUGCGUAGAGAUCGGGAGGAAUACCAGUGGCGAAGGCGGCCUUCUGGACUGACACUGACACUGAGGUGCGAAAGCGUGGGUAGCAAACAGGAUUAGAUACCCUGGUAGUC